UACGGAGGGUGCAAGCGUUAUCCGGAUUCACUGGGUUUAAAGGGUGCGUAGGCGGGCAUUUAAGUCAGUGGUGAAAUACCUGAGCUUAACUUGGGAACUGCCAUUGAUACUAUUUGUCUUGAAUGUCGUGGAGGUUAGCGGAAUAUGUCAUGUAGCGGCGAAAUGCUUAGAUAUGACAUAGAACACCUAUUGCGAAGGCAGCUAACUACGCGAAUAUUGACGCUGAGGCACGAAAGCGUGGGGAUCAAACAGG
rnacentral:rRNA from 1 species